rnacentral:rRNA from 1 species
GCAAGUCGAACGGGGUGCUUUAGAAAGCUUGCUUUUUGAAGUUACCUAGUGGCAAACGGGUGAGUAAUGCAUAAGUAACCUGCCCCAAAGUUUGGGAUAACAGUCCGAAAGGGCUGCUAAUACCAGAUACGCUCUUUUUUUUACCUGGAAAGAAGAGGAAAGAUUUAUUGCUUUGGGAGGGGCUUAUGUUCGAUUAGCUAGUUGGUGGGGUAAGAGCCUACCAAGGCGAUGAUCGAUAGCUGGUCUGAGAGGAUGGUC